rnacentral:rRNA from 1 species
GCUUGUCUCAAAGAUUAAGCCAUGCAUGUCUAAGUGUAAAUAAGUCUAUACUGUGAAACUGCGAAUGGCUCAUUAAAUCAGUUAUAGUUUAUUUGAUGGUACUUUCUACUCGGAAUAACCGUAGUAAUUCUAGAGCUAAUACGUGCGUAAAUCCCGACUUCUGGAAGGGACGUAUUUAUUAGAUAAAAGGCCGACCGGGCUCUGCCCGACUCGCGGUGAAUCAUGAUAACUUCACGAAUCGCACGGCCUCGUGCCGGCGAUGUUUCAUUCAAAUUUCUGCCCUAUCAACUUUUGAUGGUAGGAUAGAGGCCUACCAUGGUGGUAACGGGUGACGGAGGAUUAGGGUUCGAUUCCGGAGAGGGAGCCUGAGAAACGGCUACCACAUCCAAGGAAGGCAGCAGG